CCUACGGGGGGCAGCAGUGAGGAAUAUUGGUCAAUGGACGAGAGUCUGAACUAGCCAAGUAGCGUGAAGGAUGACUGCCCUAUGGGUUGUAAACUUCUUUUAUAUGGGAAUAAAACGUUCCACGUGUGGGAUUUUGUAUGUACCAUAUGAAUAAGGAUCGGCUAACUCCGUGCCAGCAGCCGCGGUAAUACGGAGGAUCCGAGCGUUAUCCGGAUUUAUUGGGUUUAAAGGGAGCGUAGGUGGAUUGUUAAGUCAGUUGUGAAAGUUUGCGGCUCAACCGUAAAAUUGCAGUUGAAACUGGCAGUCUUGAGUACAGUAGAGGUGGGCGGAAUUCGUGGUGUAGCGGUGAAAUGCUUAGAUAUCACGAAGAACUCCGAUUGCGAAGGCAGUUCACUGGACUGCAACUGACACUGAGGCUCGAAAGUGUGGGUAUCAAACAGGAUUAGAUACCCUGGUAGUC
rnacentral:rRNA from 1 species